AGAGUUUGAUCCUGGCUUAAGGACGAACGCUGGCGGCGUGCCUAACACAUGCAAGUCGAACGGAGAGCAUAUGAAGUAUUCGGUACGGAAUGCGUUCUUAGUGGCGAACGGGUGAGUAACACGUGGGCAACCUGCCCCAGACUGGGGGGAUAACAUUGUGAAAACAGUGCUAAUACCGCAUGACAGGGUUCCGGGCAUCCGGGACUCUUGAAAGGAGAAAUCCGGUCAGGGAUGGGCCCGCGUCCAAUUAGCUAGUUGGUGGGGUAACGGCCCACCAAGGCGACGAUUGGUAGCCGAACUGAGAGGUUGAUCGGCCACAUUGGGACUGAGACACGGCCCAGACUCCUACGGGAGGCAGCAGUGGGGAAUAUUGGGCAAUGGGCGAAAGCCCUGACCCAGCGACGCCGCGUGAAGGAUGAAGGUCUUCGGAUUGUAAACUUCUUUGAUCAGGGAAGAAAGAAAUGACGGUACCUAGAAAAACAAGCCACGGCUAACUACGUGCCAGCAGCGGC
rnacentral:rRNA from 1 species